rnacentral:rRNA from 1 species
GGCUCAACCGUAAAAUUGCCAUUGAAACUGGCGAACUUGAGUACAGUAGAGGUAGGCGGAAUUCGUGGUGUAGCGGUGAAAUGCUUAGAUAUCACGAAGAACUCCGAUUGCGAAGGCAGCUUGCUGGACUGUAACUGACGCUGAGGCACGAAAGCGUGGGGAUCAAACAGGAUUAGAUACCCUGGUAGUCCACGCCGUAAACGAUGAAUGCUAGCUGUUAGCGAUAUACUGUUAGCGGCACAGAGAAAUCGUUAAGCAUUCCACCUGGGGAGUACGCCGGCAACGGUGAAACUCAAAGGAAUUGACGGGGGCCCGCACAAGCGGAGGAACAUGUGGUUUAAUUCGAUGAUACGCGAGGAACCUUACCUGGGCUUAAAUUGCAGUGGAAUAACGUGGAAACAUGUUAGCCUUCGGGCCGCUGUGAAGGUGCUGCAUGGUUGUCGUCAGCUCGUGCCGUGAGGUGUCGGCUUAAGUGCCAUAACGAGCGCAACCCUCAUCGAUAGUUACUAACAGGUUAAGCUGAGGACUCUAUCGAGACUGCCGACGUAAGUCGUGAGGAAGGUGGGGAUGACGUCAAAUCAGCACGGCCCUUACGUCCAGGGCUACACACGUGUUACAAUGGGGGGUACAAAGGGCAGCUACCUGGCGACAGGAUGCUAAUCUCAAAAACCUCUCUCAGUUCGGAUUGGAGUCUGCAACCCGACUCCAUGAAGCUGGAUUCGCUAGUAAUCGCGCAUCAGCCACGGCGCGGUGAAUACGUUCCCGGGCCUUGUACACACCGCCCGUCAAGCCAUGGGAGCCGGGGGGACCUGAAGUAUGCAACCGUAAGGAGCGUCCUAGGGUAAAACCGGUAACUGGGGCUAAGUCGUAACAAGGUACC